GACGAACGCUGGCGGCGUGCUUAACACAUGCAAGUCGAACGAAGAGCGAUGGAAGCUUGCUUCUAUCAAUCUUAGUGGCGAACGGGUGAGUAACGCGUAAUCAACCUGCCCUUCAGAGGGGGACAACAGUUGGAAACGACUGCUAAUACCGCAUACGAUCUAAUCUCGGCAUCGAGGAUAGAUGAAAGGUGGCCUCUACAUGUAAGCUAUCACUGAAGGAGGGGAUUGCGUCUGAUUAGCUAGUUGGAGGGGUAACGGCCCACCAAGGCGAUGAUCAGUAGCCGGUCUGAGAGGAUGAACGGCCACAUUGGGACUGAGACACGGCCCAGACUCCUACGGGAGGCAGCAGUGGGGAAUCUUCCGCAAUGGACGAAAGUCUGACGGAGCAACGCCGCGUGAGCGAUGACGGCCUUCGGGUUGUAAAGCUCUGUUAAUCGGGACGAAAGGCCUUCUUGCGAAUAGUGAGAAGGAUUGACGGUACCGGAAUAGAAAGCCACGGCUAACUACGUGCCAGCAGCCGCGGUAAUACGUAGGUGGCAAGCGUUGUCCGGAAUUAUUGGGCGUAAAGCGCGCGCAGGC
rnacentral:rRNA from 1 species